AAAAGGGGAGCUAGGGGACUUGGCCUGGCUGAGAGGAGCGACCAAAUCGCUCGACCCGAGAACCUGAUCUGGAUAAUGCCAGCGUAGGGACCAU
rnacentral:ncRNA from 1 species